GCACUUACUUUGUCAGCACGUAUGUGAAAAUUAGAAUGAUACAGUGAAGAUUAGCCCGACAUCUCCACAAGGACAUCAUGCGAAUCUGUGAAACAUUCCAUAUUUUG
ensembl:snRNA U6 U6 spliceosomal RNA